GUUUAUAGUGUAACCAGCUACUCAUUUCCAGCAGACACAGAGUAAGUAGUGAUCCUUCUAUCAGCAAUUUUGAAACAGAGUCCUGUCCUGUGUUUGUGAGUCUCCAUGACCACAGUUUGAUUUACAAUCCAAAGCAAAAGUUUAGAGGGCAAGUUGGUCAUCUGACGAAAAUGGCUUCUGGACCAAAAAGAAGACACAGCAAACAGCUGCCUCCUAAUCUGUCUGAAUUAAUGGACAAACUUACUGAAGAAGCAGCUUUAUUCAUCCAGCAGUUUAGCACCAGUGAACCAAGGAUGAGAGAAAUUGUAGAAGAGUUUCUGAGGAUUUCAAAUAAAAUAAAAGACAUGCAGUGGAAAAUGGACACAGUGAGAAACGUGGGAGCUGUUACUGGAGGAGCAGCAGUAGCAGCAGCUGUAGUCAUUGGAGCCUCAAUCGUUGCAGCUCCGUUCACUGGUGGGAUGAGUUUACCAUUUGGAGCUGCUGCUAUAGGCAAAGUUUUUGCUGCUGGUGGAGUUGCUGUUGUUGCAGCCAAUAUAAGAAAAAUGAUGUCAGAGAGUGGAAGUGCAAAGAAAGUAGAAGAACUGGGGAAAGAAUUCAUGGCGAUUGUGGAACCAAUGAAGAAGAACCUGGAAGAAAUAAAGAUGACGUGUGAAAAGUUGGAGGAAAAAUCAGCAGAAGCUCAGGCUGAAAACUCUCUGACUGAUGUGGAGGAGCUUCAGAGGUGUCUUAGACAAGUGUCUGAACUUAAAGAGAAAAGUGCAGGAGUUUUGACUGAAUCUGUAUCAGUGCUGUAUGCGAUCAAUCAGCUACUGAUUCUCAUUGUCAGCAUCUUCAGGGUGACUGCAACCCCUGAAAACGAUAAAAGGUUAGAAGAGGCCAUUAUCCAGUCAGCUGAUCAGAGUCAAAAGGUUGUUAAUGAGUUAUAUGAGAUGAGAAAUGAACUCGGUGACUUCACAGAAAAGACGAGAGAAUAGAAACCACCCUGUGAACCAGUUCAGACUAACAAAUAAAAUUUUAAGAAUAAAGGAUCACCAGACUGUGAUCUGGACUGUAUGAAGGACUCAUGUAGUUUGAGCCUGAGCUUCCUCAUGACCUCCGUUAGCAGACUGGAUGUUGUUGUAUAUCCAUGUAAAGCUGGUCCACAGCCUCUCCACUGAUCUGCAAACAUUUAUUUGACUGUUUUUACUCCACAUUUAACCUGAAUUAAGAGAUUCUCACUGAUUUUCUUUUGUUCUCACUGGAAAAGCUGUGUUCUUGUGUCAUCACUAAUUAAAAGCCUUCAGAGACAAACACAUGAGACAUGACAAAGCAUUUUUUUUUCUGUUCAGUUCAACCACAGACUUAACAAAAUAAAACAAAACAAACUGUCAGCCAAAUUCUGUACUUUAUAUUUUUAAUGUUUUUUCUACUUACUGUUUUUAAUUUAGGGGUAGAAUCAUGUUUUAUUCAUGCAUUACUUUCAGUUUUAAAAACUAUCAUGUUCAGCUCAAUGCAAAAGGGAACAUGAGAAGGAGUUCUCAUGUUCUUGACUUUCAUUGUCAAAGGAUGUGCUUUGAUUGGAAAAUGUGUGUUUCUUUUAAAUGCAUGUAUUACAGAGAACAUUUGGGAUCAUCAGGUGACUGGACUACCUGCAAUUCAUCACCAGUUUAACCAUGUGAAAAUGACUUUAAUUACUUCACUGAUUAAUAUCAAAGGUAUACAUGUAAAAUAAUGAAAAAAAAACCAUUUUAUUUUAUGUAAAUUUUUAUGGUAACUUGUUUUGGUUUUUGCUCAUUUUUGGUUCAGUUUAUUAGGUAGUCUGCGAGGAUAAACAGUCUCUUUGCAUGAUAUUUUGGAUUGUAUUGUACUGUAUUUGUCUGCAACUAUUCUACAUAAAGUCAUCAAAUGUCAACUAGAUUCUUCAUUCUUGACACUCGAUGUUGCUUGGACAUAAUAGCCUGAGAUCAUUUAUCAGCACAGCUUAAAGUGAGAUUUGGUAGGUGGAGGCAGUAGCG
ensembl:lncRNA